UACGUAGGGUGCGAGCGUUGUCCGGAAUUAUUGGGCGUAAAGAGCUCGUAGGCGGUUUGUCACGUCGGAUGUGAAACCCCGGGGCUUAACUCCGGGCCUGCAUUCGAUACGGGCUGACUAGAGUUCGGCAGGGGAGACUGGAAUUCCUGGUGUAGCGGUGAAAAUGCGCAGAUAUCAGGAGGAACACCGGUGGCGAAGGCGGGUCUCUGGGCCGAUACUGACGCUGAGGAGCGAAAGCGUGGGGAGCGAACAGG
rnacentral:rRNA from 1 species